AAAGGUAUGGCUCAGAGGCGGGGCGUGUGCUUAGCGUGCGCGAGGCCCUGGGUUCAAUCCCCAGUGUCUUCA
rnacentral:tRNA from 1 species